UCAAAAGUCAAUUAAUUAGGGUUCCAACUAAAUAACUCCCCUCCCAAAAUUUGCAGAAGCAAUUUCAAAGAACCCGCUCCCCUACUUCUAGGUUAAUCCUUUUUGAGUUUUAGCCACCAGAACCUUCAUCAAAGCUCAUUGUCACUACACUAUCCACACAGAGAUAAAACCCCCAAAUUCUCGUAAUUAGGGUUCCUAAUCUCCAUGGAAAGCCACUCGUAAGGGAAAAAAGAAGAAGAAACUAUUCUGGUUGCCAGCCAUUUCUCCGGUUAUAUCAGUCAUUAUAUCCACCUUGAUAGUAUAUCUAACAAGAGCUGAUGAACAUGGGGUUAAAAUCAUUAGACUUUUCAAAGGAGGACUAAAUCCAAGUUCACUAAAUCAGUCGGAGUUCAAUAGUCCACACCUUAGCGAACUAGCCAAAAUCGGCUUCAUUUGUGCAAUUAUUGCUUUAACGGAAGCUGUUGCUGUUGGUCGAUCUUUUGCUUCGAUCAAAGGGUACAACCUAGUUACCUAGAUGGGAACAACGAAAUGUUAGCCAUAGGCUUCAUGAACAUUGCAGGAUCUAUGUCUUCUUGCUAUGUUGCCACUGGUAUGGUAUAUAUACCUAUUUAAUUAUGUCGUUUAUGCAGUGGCGGACCAUUUUCUAGCGGCGUGCACGAGGGGUAAUAAUUUUUCUCCACAAUUCAUGCCUCUAACUCGGGGUUACCCCGAUCAGUUUUCGUAUAUUUUGGCGGUUAACUAAGAUUGAAAAGUUGAACUUACGUAUCAAGGAGCUCGUUAAGGAAAAGGAUGAAGAAAAAGAAAGGCUAAAUGGAAUUAUUUCCGGGUUUUUGGCUGAAAAAGAAAAAGAUAAGGUCGAUAAAGAUGCUAUGCUCGAUACGAUGUCACAAAUUGAAGCUAUGUUAACAAGUACAAUUUGAAGAUAGGCUACAAACACUUGGUUUUUAAUGUUUGGGUGUUUAUCGUAUUAGGAUUUUUUUAGUUAUUUGAUGUUUUAGCUGGUAUUUCUAUUAGAAUGUUUUAUAUGCUUUUGAUACACAGAUGUUUUAUAUAAUUUUGGAUUUUUGUGAUCUUAUUAGACUUCUUAUAUAUUUUUGUAAUUUUAUUGAUA